UACGGAGGGAGCUAGCGUUGUUCGGAAUUACUGGGCGUAAAGCGCGCGUAGGCGGCUUUGUAAGUUAGAGGUGAAAGCCCGGGGCUCAACCCCGGAACUGCCUUUAAGACUGCAUCGCUUGAAUCCAGGAGAGGUGAGUGGAAUUCCGAGUGUAGAGGUGAAAUUCGUAGAUAUUGGGAGGAACACCAGAGGCGAAGGCGGCGACCUGGAAGGUAACUGACACUGAGCAGCGAAAGCGUGGGGAGCAAACAGG
rnacentral:rRNA from 1 species